GAUGAAGAACGUAGCGAAAUGCGAUAAGUAAUGUGAAUUGCAGAAUUCAGUGAAUCAUCGAAUCUUUGAACGCACAUUGCGCCCGCCAGCAUUCUGGCGGGCAUGCCUGUUCGAGCGUCAUUUCAACCCUCGAGCCCCCCCGGGGGCCUCGGUGUUGGGGGACGGCACACCAGCCGCCCCCGAAAUGCAGUGGCGACCCCGCCGCAGCCUCCCCUGCGUAGUAGCACACACCUCGCACCGGAGCGCGGAGGCGGUCACGCCGUAAAACGCCCAACUUUCUUAGAGUUGACCUCGGAUCAGGUAGGAAUACCCGCUGAGUUUAAGCAUAUCAAUAAGCGGAGGA
rnacentral:misc_RNA from 1 species